GGCUUCUGGAAUCCCAUUAUCUUAGUUUCUUCUGCCGCCGUUCUCUCACACAAGCAAAGGGUUAUCACCUUGGUCAUCUUCCAAGGGAAUGGAUUAGCGUCGACUCGAAUUCUUGCUCUAAUGGAAAGAUCAACGAGGUCUUGACGAGAAAAAAGAUGGUGAUGUUGUGGUGGUUAAACGACUGUCAAUAACAGUAACAACAUCGGAAUCAACGCAAACGGCGACUGCAACGACAUUGAACGAAAGCAAGUUCCAGACGAAUCGACGAUAUAAGACUGACCAAGAGAGAGAUAAGAGUUUUGCUUUGACUAAGUGAGGCUAAGGUUCAAAGACGCAAGAAGAUCAAAGCUAGGACAAGCUGGGCUGCAUAUCAUUACCGAAGAUCAGAUCAG